rnacentral:rRNA from 1 species
UACGGAGGGCGCAAGCGUUGUUCGGAUUCACUGGGCGUAAAGGGUGCGUAGGCGGUCGGGUAAGUCUGAUGUGAAAUCUCACAGCUUAACUGUGAAACUGCAUUGGAUACUAUCCGGCUUGAGAGUUGGAGGGGGGACUGGAAUUCUUGGUGUAGCAGUGAAAUGCGUAGAUAUCAAGAGGAACACCAGUGGCGAAGGCGAGUCCCUGGACAGCAUCUGACGCUGAGGCGCGAAAGCUAGGGGAGCAAACAGG